rnacentral:rRNA from 1 species
CGGGCGACGCGCCGGUUUAGGUCCCUUGGAACGGGGCGUCAUAGAGGGUGAGAAUCCCGUACGUGACCGGCGACCGAGCCCAGACGAAACUCCUUCGACGAGUCGAGUUGUUUGGGAAUGCAGCUCCAAACGGGUGGUAAAUUCCAUCUAAAGCUAAAUACCGGCCAGAGACCGAUAGCGCACAAGUAGAGUGAUCGAAAGAUGAAAAGCACUUUGGAAAGAGAGUCAAAAAGUACGUGAAAUUGUUGAAAGGGAAGCGCUUGCAACCAGACCUGCCCGCGGGCGAUCAACCGUCCUUCUGGGCGGUGCACUCGCCCGCGAUCAGGCCAGCAUCGGUUCGGGCGGCCGGAGAAAGGCCUCGGGAACGUAGCUCCUCCCGGGGAGUGUUAUAGCCCUUGGUGCAAUGCGGCCAGCCUGGACCGAGGACCGCGCUUCGGCUAGGAUGCUGGCGUAAUGGUUGUAAGCGGCCCGUCUUGAAACACGGACCAAGGAGUCUAACAUCUAUGCGAGUGUUUGGGUGUCAAACCCAUACGCGUAAUGAAAGUGAACGGAGGUGGGAACCUCUUCGCGGGGCGCACCAUCGACCGAUCCAGAUGUCUUCGGAUGGAUUUGAGUACGAGCAUAGCUGUUGGGACCCGAAAGAUGGUGAACUAUGCCUGAAUAGGGUGAAGCCAGAGGAAAACUCUGGUGGAGGCUCGCAGCGGUUCUGACGUGCAAAUCGAUCGUCAAAUUUGGGCAUAGGGGCGAAAGACUAAUCGAACCAUC